GUUUUUAUAUUUUUAGAUUAAAAAAGCUAUAACUACUAUUUGUACUACACAUGUAUCACCAUCUCCUCGCCGAACUAGUGCACCUAUACAAUUUGCCAUUGUAUUGGGUGUGUUGGGGAAACAAGAGAUUUCUUGUAUUUGAUUGCAGGGUUGUUUGAGAGAGACCAUCUUUUUAUAAACAUUAGGUCAUCCACUUUAGGAAAUUUGUUGUUUUCCUACAAAACUCUACACUUCGAG
rnacentral:lncRNA from 1 species